UCUCCCCCUCCCCCCUUUAUCCCCCCCCACAUCCCCCUCCCCUCCCCCCUCCAUCCCCCCCCUCUAUCCCCCCUCCCCCCUCUCUCCCCCUCCCUCCCCUCCCGCUACCUUCCUCUCGGCUCCUCUGGGGUCUCCUCAGCGGAGGGGGGAGGGGCAGGGGGGGGGGGAGGGGGCGUCCGAACCUCCCUCCCCUCCCCCCCCCCACCCCCACCCCCACAACGAGGCCUACGCGGGGGGGGCUCACGGGGGGCGUCGGCCCAUGGUGGUGCCUAUGCGCCUGCGCACACCGGGGUCAACCGGGGGUCAUCAGGGGUCAAUCCGGGGUCAUCCGGGGGUCACGGGGGGCACCGGGACCCCCCCCCCCCUCCCCCAUCCUCUCCCUACCGGCCGCUCCCGCCUCCCGCCGCUCCAUGGUGAUGACGCACUUCCGGGUAGGCGCGCGCAGGGCCGGAAGUGGCGCUGCCCCCUGGCGGCGGGGGGGAGUCGCGGCGUGAGGGGUGUGCGUGGUGACGUCAACGCGUGGCCACGCCCACCACGUACGUCACGGUAUAAAAGAGGGGGGGACUUCCGGUUGUGGCCAGUCGUGUUCCUGUAGGCCUCGGGGAAGCGUCCGCGGUCAUGUGACCGGAUGCUCAACUUCCGGUUCCGCCUCUUCCGGUUCUAUGGGGACCGGUGCAGGUGCGGUUCGCAGUGGUGGAGGCCGGACCGGACCAUGAUGCUGAGCGGGGGGGGGGCCCAUUGGCGACCCCCGUCCGGAACAGCUCCAUGAGGGCGGCCGCGCAUGCGCGGGAGGGGCCGGAGCCGUUCGACGCCCCCCGCGCAUGCGCGGAGCUGCUGGGGACCUCGUUCGCUGCGCGCUGCGCGGUGGGGGGGGCGGCGGGGGGAGCCAUGAACGUCCCCCCCUCCCACCGCCUCUAUCGUGGCCUCAUCAGCCUCUCCGUGCCCCCCCCCCGUGGGGCCCAGGAGGGGGGCUCUGCCCCAUAGCACACCCCAUAAGGUUCCGGGUCCUACCAUUGCCACCCCAAGGGGGGGGGAGGAGGAGCCUUGGCUGCCCCCCCCCUCCCCCAUCGCCCCCCCCCGGCCCCUCCCCCGCCCCCCCGGAGCUGCCUUCGUCAUGUACCGGAAGCUGCAGCAGUGGGGGGGGGGCUGAGGGGGGGUCACCCCCUGCCCCUCCCCCCCCCCUUCCCCCCCCCCCCCCCCUAUACACCCCUCCCCCCCC
rnacentral:lncRNA from 1 species